AACGAACGCUGGCGGCAUGCCUAACACAUGCAAGUCGAACGAGACCUUCGGGUCUAGUGGCGCACGGGUGCGUAACGCGUGGGAACCUGCCCUUAGGUUCGGAAUAACUCCCUGAAAGGGGUGCUAAUACCGGAUAAUGUCUUCGGACCAAAGAUUUAUCGCCUUUGGAUGGGCCCGCGUUGGAUUAGCUAGUUGGUAGGGUAAAAGCCUACCAAGGCGACGAUCCAUAGCUGGUCUGAGAGGAUGAUCAGCCACACUGGGACUGAGACACGGCCCAGACUCCUACGGGAAGCAGCAGUGGGGAAUAUUGGACAAUGGGCGAAAGCCUGAUCCAGCAAUGCCGCGUGAGUGAUGAAGGCCUUAGGGUUGUAAAGCUCUUUUACCCGGGAUGAUAAUGACAGUACCGGGAGAAUAAGCUCCGGCUAACUCCGUG
rnacentral:rRNA from 1 species